UACGGAGGGUGCGAGCGUUGUCCGGAAUCACUGGGCGUAAAGGGCGCGUAGGCGGCGCGGGCAGUCAACGGUGAAAGCUCGGGGCUCAACCCCGAGUCGGCCGUCGAUACUCCCGUGCUUGAGCACUGUAGAGGCAGGUGGAAUUCCGGGUGUAGCGGUGGAAUGCGUAGAGAUCCGGAAGAACACCGGUGGCGAAGGCGGCCUGCUGGGCAGUAGCUGACGCUGAGGCGCGACAGCGUGGGGAGCAGACAGG
rnacentral:rRNA from 1 species